UACCGAAGGUGCGAGCGUUAAUCGGAAUUACUGGGCGUAAAGCGUGCGUAGGCGGACGUGUAAGGCGGGGGUGAAAGCCCCGGGCUCAACCUGGGAAUUGCAUUCGAGACUGCACGGCUGGAGUGCGGAAGAGGGAAGCGGAAUUUCCGGUGUAGCGGUGAAAUGCGUAGAUAUCGGAAGGAACAUCAGUGGCGAAAGCGGCUUCCUGGUCCAGCACUGACGAUCAGGCACGAAAGCGUGGGGAGCAAACAGG
rnacentral:rRNA from 1 species